rnacentral:lncRNA from 1 species
CCUUUCUCGCUUCAUCCGCGGUCCCUGUCUGUUUUCGUUAUGGCGCCUUGUACUUCUACCCAACGUUGCCCGCCCCCCAUCUUCCCAGCCCACCAGCUCCGUCCGCCUCUCCGGAUGAUUCGUGAGAUACCGAGCCUGCCGGGAAGGGACCGGAUUUUUCCGUCUGGUCCAAGGAAGCACGGGUUAUGGCCACAUGCGCAGUGAUAACUCAGGGCCCCACGCCUUUUGACCCCUGUUGAUGAAGAUUGUGAGGAGGGAGACCAGAAGAUAAUGGACAACGAUACAGCAGAAGGGUCUGGUAAGCUCCGUUUAGUUGCACUACCCGGGGAGACCUGAGGCAUGUUUCCAAGGGCUGUGGCUGCCUGUAGCCAUGGGAUCUCCAACUGCAUGCCAGAGUAAUGGAGAGACUUUGACAGCUCAGGUCAGCACAGUGCCUGCAGCUGCCACUCAUCUUUCCUAUAUAUGUAUAUCAGGCCUCAAGUUGAGCGCCCUCUACCUGUGAGGCUAUUGUUCUGUGGUAUUUACAACAAAUGUUUCUUCUGCAGGUUACACUUGAGCUUAUUUCUUGGAAGAGUCUGAGAAGACGGCCUGUCAGGCUCCUAACACUAAGGUAAUUGCUGGCUAAGACAGCCUGACCCUCCGGUUUCCCUUUCCCAUCGGAUCUUGACGCUGGUCUUGGUGGUCGUUAAGGAGGAAGAGCACCCUGAAGCUGGCCUCACAGCGAUGCAGUCUGCUGUAGAGCAGCAGGCCAGACUCAGACAUGCCUGGGCUUUGAAGUGGGAAAACUUGAGAACUGAUCAGUAUUGCUGAGUAAUGGCUUACUUUCAUGGUUUUUUUUUUUUAAGGGCCAUGUAACCAGUGAAGCAGCCAUUAUAUAUGAUUUGGUCUACACUUGUUGGAAAAAUUCCACAAGAGGAUCUCCUGGAAGCUAGCAGAAGUUUUUGGCUUGUACAUUGCCAGGCAGCCAUUGGAAUCGGAGCUGCAGUCAGAUUAAGGCCAGCCUGGCCUACAUUGAGAAACCUCAUUUUGGGAAAGUGAAAUACUUUGUCAAUUAACAUGCAGUUGGUUCAAUAAAGACUUUUGGAAAGUGUC